UUGAUUAGUUGUAGUUUUCUAUGAUGGUC
rnacentral:piRNA from 1 species